UACGAAGGGGGCUAGCGUUGUUCGGAAUCACUGGGCGUAAAGGGCGCGUAGGCGGCUUUAUAAGUCGGGGGUGAAAGCCUGUGGCUCAACCACAGAAUUGCCUUCGAUACUGUAGAGCUUGAGACCGGAAGAGGUAAGUGGAACUGCGAGUGUAGAGGUGAAAUUCGUAGAUAUUGGGAAGAACACCGGUUGCGAAGGCGGCCAACUGGACUGGUACUGACGCUGAGGCGCGAAAGCGUGGGGAGCAAACGGG
rnacentral:rRNA from 1 species